GGAACCCAGUAAAUUUUAUAACGAUAAAUUAAAAUUGAUCAAAGGUAAAAUUUAAUAAUAAAGACUUGAAUUUAUCAUAAUAAAGAUAUUAAUUAAAACAAGGAUUAGAUACCCUUUUAUUUUUAUUCAAUAUAAAAAUUGGAGAGUACGAGCAAUAGCUUAAAAACUAAAGAAUAUGGCGGUGUUUUAUUCAAUCAGGGUGACAUGUAUCUUAAUUUGAUAGUCCACGGUUUCUAAGCCUGAUUUUGAAAUUCAGCAUGUGUACUGCCGUUUUAUAUAAUUUUAAAAAAUUAUAUAAAAUAUAUGGGUUUCAUAUAAUUAGUCAGGUCAAAGCGCAGUCUAUAGUCAGGUGAUAUUGUGUUACAUUUAUUUAAACAUUCAACUUAUUAAUUUAAAUUUUAAUAAGAAGAAGAACUUGAUAGUAAUUAAAUUAAUUAAAUUUAAUGAAGAUGAUUUUAACGUGUACAAAUCGCCCGUCACUCCUUUAUAAAGGAUAAGUCGUACAAAAAGUAGGA
rnacentral:rRNA from 1 species